rnacentral:tRNA from 1 species
GGGCAGAUAGCUCAGGUGGUCCAGAGCGCUUGCCUUACAAGCAAGAGGUCGGGAGUUCGACUCUCCCUCUGCCCA